GAACGAACGCUGGCGGCAUGCCUAAUACAUGCAAGUCGAACGAUCACUUCGGUGGUAGUGGCGCACGGGUGCGUAACGCGUGGGAAUCUGCCCUUGGGUUCGGAAUAACAUCGGGAAACUGAUGCUAAUACCGGAUGAUGACGUAAGUCCAAAGAUUUAUCGCCCAGGGAUGAGCCCGCGUAGGAUUAGCUAGUUGGUGGGGUAAAGGCCUACCAAGGCGACGAUCCUUAGCUGGUCUGAGAGGAUGAUCAGCCACACUGGGACUGAGACACGGCCCAGACUCCUACGGGAGGCAGCAGUAGGGAAUAUUGGACAAUGGGGGCAACCCUGAUCCAGCAAUGCCGCGUGAGUGAUGAAGGCCUUAGGGUUGUAAAGCUCUUUUACCAGAGAUGAUAAUGACAGUAUCUGGGGAAUAAGCCCCGGCUAACUCCGU
rnacentral:rRNA from 1 species